ACCGCUGGAAUAUCAACUGUCCAAUCUGGGUGUCCCUGGCUGGUGCAUCCCUGAUGAGGAGGCACAGUUCAAAAUGGAAAGUGAAUUCACCUAGCUUAAACUGAUGAGCUGGUGGCUGGUGACUCCUUUCUAAGAGAUGGAAGAUGAGCUGGACAUGAAAACCAAACUUUACCAUUCCUGGAUGUAGCAAGCAAAACACCGGCAGUAACUAACCAGGCUGAGUUGGUCUUCUGUUCUGACUUCACUCACAGCUGAUAAGCAGGAACCUUAUACCUGGGAGCACCAGUUUCUUUGAAAAAACUGAGAGGGCUCGGCUGCAGAAGCUCGUAAGAUCUCUUGCUAGAGUGGACCCAUGAAAUGUACUCUUUAUUGCUGAAUUUCAGAGACAGAGAAGCACCAGGUCAGUAAUACCUUAAUGCUAUGUAAUGUCAUCUCCUUGCUCUAUGUUACAGUCCCCUCAUUUAUACACCAAAACUCACAUUUAGCCCCUUAGAUACAACCUUUUACUGAGGGCUUGUUUUCCGUUGUUUUUGUAGCAUUAUGCUCAAUC